CAGUAGCCGCGGUAAUACAGAGGGUGCGAGCGUUAAUCGGAUUUACUGGGCGUAAAGCGUGCGCAGGCGGCUUUUUAAGUCGGAUGUGAAAUCCCCGAGCUUAACUUGGGAAUUGCAUUCGAUACUGGGAAGCUAGAGUAUGGGAGAGGAUGGUAGAAUUCCAGGUGUAGCGGUGAAAUGCGUAGCGAUCUGGAGGAAUACCGAUGGCGAAGGCAGCCAUCUGGCCUAAUACUGACGCUGAGGUACGAAAGCAUGGGGAGCAAACAGGAUUAGAUACCCGGGUAGUCCCUGUCUCUUAUAA
rnacentral:rRNA from 1 species